AAUUAACUUAAACGGCCGCGGUAUCCUGACCGUGCAAAGGUAGCAUAAUCAUUUGUCUCCUAAAUAGAGACUUGUAUGAAUGGCAAAACGAGGGUUUAACUGUCUCUUUUUCUCAAUCAAUGAAAUUGACCUACCCGUGCAGAGGCGGGUAUGAUUUUAUAAGACGAGAAGACCCUGUGGAGCUUAAAAUUACAACUUAAAUAAACACAAUCUAGCACCCUAAGGGACUAACUAACUAUAAUAUUAAGUUGAAUUUUUGGUUGGGGUGACCUCGGAGCACAAGAAAACCUCCGAAUGAUAUAACUAAGAUCAACCAAUCCAAGUGCUAUAAAGCCAGUAAUUGACCCAAAUAUUGAUCAACGGAACAAGUUACCCCAGGGAUAACAGCGCAAUCCUAUUU
rnacentral:rRNA from 1 species